GAUGAACGCUGACAGAAUGCUUAACACAUGCAAGUCAACUUGAACUUCGGUUCGGGUGGCGGACGCGGGAAUAACGCGAAAAAAACUUGCCUCACAGAUAGUGACAACAUUUGGAAACGAAGGCUAAUACCUGAUAUUAUGAUUAUAUGGCACCGUAUAAUUAUGAAAGCUAUAUGCGCUGUGAGAGAGCUUUGCGUCCCACGAGCUAGUUGGAGAGGUAACGGCUAACCACGGCGAUGAUGGGUAGCCGGCCUGGGAGGUUGAUCGGCAACAAGGGGACUAGGAACCGGCCCUUACCCCUCCGGGAGGAAGCGGUGGGGAAUAUUGGACAAGGGACCAAGAGUCUGGUCCAGCCAUUCUGUGUGGAAGAUGAAGUUUCUCGGAAUGAAAAGUGCUUUGCGUUGAGAAGGAGAAAAUGACGGUACCUACAGAAGAAGCGACGGCUAAAUACGUG
rnacentral:rRNA from 1 species